rnacentral:rRNA from 1 species
UGCAGAAUCCCGUGAACCAUCGAGUCUUUGAACGCAAGUUGCGCCCGAAGCCAUCAGGCCAAGGGCACGUCUGCCUGGGCGUCACGCAUCGCGUCGCCCCCCCAAAACCCCGCGCACCUUCUGGUCCGGGCAAUGAAAAUGGGGGCGGAGACUGGCCUCCCGUGCCUGUGCGCGGCUGGCCUAAACACGAGUCCCUCGCGGCGGACGCGACGACAAUUGGUGGUUGAUUACCUCAACUCGAAUGCCGUCGUCGUGGCCCUGUCGAUGGAGGAGACUGCCCCGACCCUACAGCGUGUGUCUCCAAGAUGCACGCCACGACCGCGACCCCAGGUCAGGCGGGACUACCCGCUGAGUUUAAGCAUAUCAAUAAGCGGAGGAAAAGAAACUAACAAGGAUUCCCCUAGUAACGGCGAGCGAACCGGGAACAGCCCAAGCUUAAAAUCAGUCGACUUCGUCGUCUGA